AGCUGGUGUUGUUGAUGAAGACUAUCGUGGAAAUCUUGGUGUUGUUCUGUUUAAUUUUGGAUCAGAUGUAUUUGAAGUAUGCGAAUGUGCUCGCCAUAAUUUAAGAAAGGUGAUCGCAUAGCUCAGUUAAUCUGUGAGAAAAUAUGCUAUCCAGAACUGGAAGAAGUUGAGAAACUUGAAGAUACAGAAAGAGGUGAAGGUGGUUUUGGUUCUACGGGUAAAAACUGAAAAUCUCUUCAAA